rnacentral:rRNA from 1 species
GAUGAACGCUGGCGGCGUGCUUAACACAUGCAAGUCGAGCGAAGCGCUUUGGUUAGAUUCUUCGGAUGAAGACCUUUGUGACUGAGCGGCGGAUGGGUGAGUAACGCGUGGGUAACCUGCCUCAUACAGGGAUACAGUUAGAAUGACUGCUAAUACCGCAUAAGACCACAGUACCGCAUGGUACAAGGGGUAAAAACUCCGGUGGUAUGAGCUGGACCCGCGUCUGAUUAGCUGGGUUGGUGGGGUAACGGCCUACCAAGGCGAUGAUCAGUAGCCGGCCUGAGAGGGCGACCGGCCACAUUGGGACUGAGACACGGCCCAAACUCCUACGGGAGGCAGCAGGUGGGAAUAUUGCACAAGUCGGGGGAAACCCUGAUGCAGCGACGCCGCGUGAAGGAAGAAGUA